rnacentral:rRNA from 1 species
UACGGAAGGCAGCAGUGGGGAAUAUUGCACAAUGGGCGCAAGCCUGAUGCAGCCAUGCCGCGUGUAUGAAGAAGGCCUUCGGGUUGUAAAGUACUUUCAGUCGUGAGGAAGGUGUUAAGGUUAAUAACCUUAGCAAUUGACGUUAGCGACAGAAGAAGCACCGGCUAACUCCGUGCCAGCAGCCGCGGUAAUACGGAGGGUGCGAGCGUUAAUCGGAAUUACUGGGCGUAAAGGGCACGCAGGCGGUUAAUUAAGUUGGAUGUGAAAUCCCCGGGCUUAACCUGGGAAUGGCAUUCAAGACUGGUUAGCUAGAGUCUUGUAGAGGGGGUAGAAUUCCGAUGUGUAGCGGUGAAAUGCGUAGAGAUGUGGAGGAAUACCGGUGGCGAAGGCGGCCCCUGGACAAAGGCUGACGCUCAUGUGCGAAAGCGUGGGGAGCGAAACAGGGAUUAGAU